rnacentral:rRNA from 1 species
GUCCACGCUGUAAACGAUGAGUGCUAGGUGUCGUGGGUAUUGACCCCCGCGGUGCCGUAGCUAACGCAUUAAGCACUCCGCCUGGGAAGUACGGUCGCAAGACUAAAAACUCAAAGGAAUUGACGGGGGCCCGCACAAGCGGUGGAGCAUGUGGUUUAAUUCGACGCAACGCGCAGAACCUUACCUGGGCUGGAAAGUGUUCGGAAGUCUUGUGAAAAACGAGAUGUGCCCGCAAGGGAGCCGAGUGACAGGUGCUGCAUGGCUGUCGU